rnacentral:tRNA from 1 species
ACUAAGAUGGCAGAGCCCGGUAAUUGCAAAAGGCCUAAGCCCUUUCAACCGGAGGUUCAAAUCCUCCUCUUAGUU